rnacentral:lncRNA from 1 species
UUUUUUUUUUUUUUUUUUUUUUAGGGCCAUACCAAUGGCAUAUGGAAGUUCCCAGGCUAGGAGUCAAAUAUGAACUGCAGCUGUGGGCCUAUGCCACAGCCACAACAACACCAGAUCUGAGUUACACCUGUAAUCUAUACCACAGCUCACAGAAACGCCAGAUUCUUAACCCACUGAGUGAGGCCAGGUAUACCUGUGUCCUCAUGGAUGCUAGUCUGAUUCAUUUUCACUGAGCCACAAUAGGAACUCCUCAAAUGCUUUUUCUGCAUCUGUUGAGAUGAUUAUGUGAUUUUCAAUUCUUUUGCAAAAAUAAACACAUGGGACCUAAUCAAACUUACAAGCUUUUGUGAAAUGAAGGAAAUCAUAAAAAAACUGCAUCUACUGAGAUAAUCAUAUUGUUUUUAUUUUUCAGUUUCUUGAAGUGGUGUAUCACACUGAUUGAUUUUCAGAUAUUGAAGAAUCCUUGCAUCCCUGGGAUAAAUCCCACUUGAUCAUAGUGUAUGAUCCUUUUAAUAUAUAGUUGGAUUUAUUUUGCUAAAAUUUUGUUGAGGAUUUUUCCGUCUAUGUUCAUCAGUGAUAUUGUCCUGUAAUUUCCUCUUUUCGUGGUAUUUUUGUCUGGUUUUGGAGGGUGAUGGUGGCCUCAUAGAAUGAGCUUGGGAAUGUUCCUUCCUCUGAAAUUUUUGGAAGAGUUUCAGAAGAAUAGGUGUUAACUUUUCUCUGACUGUUUGAUAGAAUUCCUCUGUGUAGCCAUCAGGUCCUGUACUUUUGUUUUUUGGAAGUUUUUAAAUCAAAUUUUAAAUUUCAGUAUUUGUGAUCAGUCUAUUAGUAUCUUCCAUUUCUUUCUGGUUCAUUCUACAUCAUACAGAAAAAUAAAUUCAAAAUGGAGUAAAGACCUAAAUGUAAGGCCAGAUACUAUAAAACUUCUAGAACAAAACAUAGGCAGAAUGUUCUUUGAAGUAAAUCAUAGCAACAUCUUGUUUGAUUCACUCCUAGAAUAAUGAACAUAAAGACUAGUGUCUAUCUUUAAAGCGUCCUUGGAAGGGAAACAGUAUGAGAAAAUACAAAUCAACUUAGCUAGCUACUGUUAAAAGUUUCUAAAGUCAAGGACAAAACUCACAGCUGGGUUUCUUUUAAUCAAGAAUAAUAUAUGUCAACUUCUAUGAACUUCAUUAAAAUCCUAACUCUAAAGUUUACUGUAUAACUAGUUAGUAGAUAAACACUAUGUUUUUAAUUAAGUUGGAUUUAAAUAGGGGAAAGUCCUUUAGGAUGAAAUUCUUGUUAUAUUAUUAUUGUAAUUUUGUUAAGUCACAAAUCACCACAGGAAAAUAAGAAUGGGAAAUAGGAAUAAUACGCAAAUAAUCAGGACAGACUGAGGAAAACUGAAUAACAAAUAAAACAACAGGAAAGACUAGGUCACCUGAGAAACAAUCCAUGUUCUCCGGCGCAAUCAUGGAAAUUGUUUUCCCAGGAAAGUCCCAAUUCUUUUUCAUUAAUAUCAAAAUGAGAGCUGUGGAACCUGAGGCCUGCCCUUGGCUUGUACCAUUCAGGCAGGCUUUUAUCCUGUCCAGAGGCCCACCUUCGGCAUGUACCAUUCAGGUGAGCUCCCUUCCUUGGUUAGGAACCUGCCUUCAGGUUUUUCUGCCAUCAGGCAAGGUGCUUUUUUUGAGUCCUUGCAUUGCCUGGGCUCCCCGCAAAUAAUAAUAUCUGCCUUACAGUUUUUUGUAAGGAUUAAACUAGUUAAUACAUAUAAAGUUCUUAUAAUAUGCUGAGACCAGCUCAGCAGAUUGGGGUUGAAGAACGGGUGCUGUGAAACUUAAGGAAAAAAGUUAAAAUAAGACAUAGAAACAUUUAUCUUAAUUAAAGGUGGGAACCAGGGGACUCAAGGUCUUAGGGACCAAGAGCACCGCCUCAAGAAACCACACUGCUUUUAUUGUGCUCUCUAGGAUGACGUCAAGUGAGGAGGGGCCUAUAGGUGCAGGAUAUAAUUUUUUUUUAUUAUUUUAAAAGUUCUUUUAUUAUUUUGAAAGUCACAUAGCUGGUAGAUGGUUAAGCUUUUACUCUGAUCUUUAGGCAUUUAACAAUCAUUAGCAUUUGAGGAAGCUUGGCAUUAACUAUCUAUGCAUAACAUCUAGAGAAUCAUCACUGUGCUUCCACAAACUGCAUGCCUAUCUGCAGCAUCCAUCGUGCCUAGGUUUGCGCCUUGGUUCUCUUUACUAAUGCAUAUUCUGCUAAUGACCACUCAUAAACCAUUUGUGGCCAUGAGGUUCCUCUUUCUCUUAUUCUUAAGAAGACAUAUCAUGCUGUGCAAACAGUACGCCAAUCUGCACAGGUCUGGUGUGCCUAGACCAACGCAUUAUGUCCUCAUUCAGCUGACCCUAUGAAUAACUUGUGCUGUUAGGUCUUUGUGCUCAAGCUUAAGUCAUUUACCAGCACUGCGACUGUUUUUCAAGCAGGAAUAUGGGGUAAAGUAAAGCAGGACGAGAUGAAGUUUUCAGCAGAGGCUAAGAAAAUAUUGUAGAACAUGUCUCACAACAAUAACAGGACUUAAAAUUUUUUUUGGUAAGUCACCUCACAUCUGCCUGGUCCUUCCCUUAUCCUGACUACACUAGUGCUAAAAACACAAGCAAUUUGAUAUAUGCAGAGUGCUUUCAUCUACUGAAGAAGCCUCUUGACUUGUGUUCCUACUUUCAGUCAGGGUCUCAUGCAAUAGUCUGUGCAUUACCCAGGGCUAGACUUCUAGAAGAGCCUCUUUGAUUAUUUUAUUGCUCAGCAGCUUUUUGUGGCUCAUCAUUAACAAUGAAAUGAUCUCUGUAUUAUCUAGUCUGGCAUUCAAAACCUUCAAAAAUCUAGAUUCUAAUUGUCUUUCCAGUCUUGUUUCCUAUAAUUCUCCUCCCUACUGCAAAUCCUCUUAUAAAUACCCAUAAGUGAACAUAAGUACUUAUGUUAACUUAUUUAUAUUGACUUCUCCUGAACAUACUCUUUCCUAUUUCUGUGGUUUGGUCUAGAGUUUUUCUUCUACCUGUAGUUCUUUCUACAUUUAUCUACCUCUAUUAAGAUCCUAAUCAUUGAUUAGGGUUCUGUUGGUCUUUUGAAGUUUUCCUUAACAAUUUCAAACGAAAAUGAAUUUUGCUUAUCUUUCUAAACUUUUAUUACUAUAACCAUUGACUUUAAAGAGUUGUUGAAUGCGUAAAACAUGGAUAAAUUAAUGAAAUGAUGGAUGGAAAGACACAUGGGCACACAACCUAAGUGUACCUGUGUUUCUAUCAAUUUAACAAGAACACCUUAAUAUUUUUAUAUUUUGAGAAGUAUUUUAAAAUUCUAGCCACCAUUAAAAAUUGCAUACUUUUGAAAUUCCCAUCAUGGCUCAGCAGUAAUGAACCCGACUAGUAUCCAUGAGGAUAUGGGUUCUAUCCCUGGCCUUGCUCAGUGGGUUAGGGAUCUGGCAUUGCCACAAGGUGCAGUAUAGUUUGCAGACACAGCUUGGAUCCCUCGUUGCUAUGGCUGUGGUGUAGGCUGGCAGCUGCAACUCUGAUUCAUCCCCUAGUCUGAGAACUUCUAUAUGCUGCCUGUGAGACCCUAAAAAGACCAAAGAGGAAUUGCACACUUUUGAGAUAAAUUGUAGUAUGUGGUGAAUGAUGUGAUAAUAUUACCUUUUCCCUCUUUAUCUCUCUUUUCUCUUUAAAUAUACUGGUCAAAAUUGAUUUAGAAUUAUUAUAUCUGCUUUAUUAUAUGCCCUAGUGCAUGAGCUGAAAUCGAGAAUUUACUUAAAAGAUUGUCUUCAUUAAAAUACUGAAUUGAAUAUGUUGUUGGACUUUCUAAUAUUUGUGAAAUUGUAUGAGUAGUUAGAUAAAUGGAUGCAUAUAUAGCAACAUUAUAAUUUUCUUUUCUGACAGGGACAUUGGGAAGGUUAAUUAGUGCUUGUACAGGUUUUUGUCUCCCUUGAUGAAAAGACACUAUGCAAAUACAGAGUGCAGAAUAAAGAUUUCUAUUAAAACCAGAGGGUUAUAUUUUCAGUGGCUAUUGAUGGAUUAAGAAAGUUGUUCCAGAAGGGAGAUAAUCUAAAACACUACUUCUAACCCUGACACAUGGUUUCAGAAUGAACUCUUAACCCAAGAUCUUAUGAUGAACAUGUUUUCAUUUAUAUAAGACCAUUAUCUGGUAGGUAGAAUUAUGGAUUUAAGACUCUAAUGGCCAGACAGAAAGUAUGGGGGAAAAUAUCUCCAUUUAAUUAGUUACUCAAAAAAGUGAUCAGUUAGGUACUUCCUAUCCCACUGAUACCAGGUGCAUUGCUAAACUCUUCAGUUAAAGUAUCUGAGAUAAACAGAUCCUACCCUUAAUUUACAUAAUCUGUAUAAUCUGUCUGGC